rnacentral:rRNA from 1 species
AGCGGAGGAAAAGAAACUAACAAGGAUUCCCCUAGUAACGGCGAGUGAACCGGGAAGAGCUCAAAUUUGUAAUCUGGCGUGCUCCGCGCGUCCGAGUUGUAAUCUAUAGAAGCGUUUUCCGUGCCGGACCGUGUCCAAGUCCCUUGGAACAGGGUAUCAAAGAGGGUGACAAUCCCGUACUUGACACGACUGCCGGUGCUCUGUGAUACGUUUUCAACGAGUCGAGUUGUUUGGGAAUGCAGCUCAAAAUGGGUGGUAAAUUCCAUCUAAAGCUAAAUAUUGGCGAGAGACCGAUAGCGAACAAGUACCGUGAGGGAAAGAUGAAAAGCACUUUGGAAAGAGAGUUAAACAGUAUGUGAAAUUGUUAAAAGGGAAACGAUUGAAGUCAGUCGUGUUCAUUGAAUUCAGCUGGUUCUGCCAGUGUAUUUUCUUUGAACGGGUCAACAUCAGUUUGGAUCGGUGGAUAAAGAUGAGAGGAAGGUGGCACCCUCGGGUGUGUUAUAGCCUCUUGUUGCAUACACUGGUUCAGACUGAGGAACGCAGCUCGCCUUUAUGGCCGGGGUUCGCCCACGUCCGAGCUUAGGAUGUUGACAUAAUGGCUUUAAACGACCCGUCUUGA